UUGUGUUGCUGAAGAGACAUUGAUCAUGUGACGAGUUGGCAAAUCAAAUGACCCACUUGUGCUGCCACUGGACAGCGAAAAAACAAGUUGGAACCAACAUGCAGCACCUCCAGCAGGAAGAGAGGCAAGAACCGUUUGUCCGCCAGCUCAGAGACAAGCUACACUAUUCACAGCCCUGUCUAAUGUUCAAUGUAAUUAAUUGCAUUGCUGGACUUUUUAGAACUUCAUGUAUUUGUGUUGUUUAAAAAUUGUGCAAAUUAAAGGAAAGGUUAAACAUGUA